GACCACUCCCACCCCUACUCAGCCUGUUGGUCAGUCUUCAGCUGGAGGCUCUAGUAGUGGUGCCCAGGGCAGUGCUUCGGUCAGAGGUGGCUCUCAGCGGGGAAGUGGUCAGCGUGGACGUCCCAUGACUCGCGCUAGACUGCAUGCUAUGACCCAGCAGGAGGGUCGUACUUCUCCAGAUGUUAUCAUUGGUACGUUAUUAAUUUUUGGUCAACCUGCUUUUACUUAAUUGAUCCCGGAGCCACGCAUUCAUUCNNNNNNNNNNNNNNNNNNNNUUUAUUUUUGUCCACUCACUCUAACGUUAUUAAAUGUUUCCCCUGGGCGCUUCGUUUUAAAUUGCCCAGUCUGCAGAGUUCAGGUUGGAUCUAGUAGGAGACGAGGCAUAGUCACCCGCAUUUCUGCCAGUUUUCGUCAGUAG
rnacentral:lncRNA from 1 species